rnacentral:misc_RNA from 1 species
GGCUCCAACUUUCUACAGCACCAAUAUCUGUAGCAACAUUUAGUCGUUGAUCUAAAAUUAUCAUAAACUUAAAUACCCAUAGAUUAAAAUUCGGCGGACUCCGUUUAUCAACGGUUCUCAAACAUAUGAACUCUAUUGACAUAAAUCAUAAAUUUCUUAUAUAAUAAAUUAUGACUGGUUUGAUAUACCAAUAAAUCUUUUCCAUAGUGAUUCGAAGUAAAAAAGAAAAAUUUAGCAUAAAGCAUUAAUAUCAUUUGUUUUUAAAUUACAAUGCUGAGAUUUAUAAUUGUUUCAAACUUCAUAUCGUUUAAUAUUAUUUCGCUUCAUCAAAACAGUAUCAUAAGCAAUCAUUAGUAUCAAACUAAUUCAAUACAAAAUUCGGAUGUCACUUAACAAACCUGUUUUAAACAUCAAUUCGAAACAAAUACAGUUGUUACAAUAAUCAUUCGACUUUAAGUCAUAGCGGCAACAAUUUACAGUUGGUACAUUCUCAGAUUGAAAUUACCUAGCGUUUAGGACAAAAAGUGUAUACCCCUGAGGAUAGAUCAUUUUCAAAAAGAAGCCGCUAGGGCGGCACUACGUUCGCUAAUGUCCGGAUCAUGGCGUCCGUUUGUUAUUGCUUAUUAAUAACACCAAAUUGACAUUCAGUUAGUUAAUUAGUUUUUUAAUUAAUAAUCAAAGUGAUAAUAGUUUAAAAUGGUGAAUAAAUGUAUAGUUGAUGGGUGUUUGAGUGACCGGAUAAAAGAUCGUAGUGAAAAAUUAAAAUUGAAUAGUCGAAAUACGUCUUUAUUUAUUGUGCCACAGUGUCCAGACUUGUUAAAAUUGUGGAACCGUGGAUUAAAGCAAGAUUUCACCCCAAAAAAAGAUUAUGUCUGUGAAUUACAUUUUAAUGAUAAAUAUAUUAUUAAAACUGAUAAAAUAUUAUUGACUACUGGAAUUUAUGAAGAAUUACCUCGAAAAAGACACUCGCUAAAGCUUGGUGCUAUUCCGACGUUGAAUCCGAACCGUGUAAACAAAGCUUGCAAUAAUGAAAAUAACGAAGCUCAGUAUAUGCAAUGCCAUUUAUUACUUACUAAUGACCAUAAAACUAAUUCACCGCAAAACCAAGAACCAAUAAUUAGUAAUGAUCUCAUAAACAUAAUUAAUUGUGAGUCACCAGAAUGCAUUGACGAAUUUGAAAAUUUUGAAGAAAAUGACAAUUGUGAGAACGAAAUGCAGGAGUUUUUGAAGGAAUUGGAAGACUGUGAGUUGUGCGAAGGGACUGGAUUUAAUGAGGAAAGAUAUUCAUUGGCGUGUUCUGGUGUGUCAUUGCCUGACGAACAAUAUAAGAAACAGAUGAAUCUUUUUCGAUGCUUUGCUUGUCGGCAAUUGAGACGGAAAUUGCAAAAUCGAUCGUACAAAGUCAAACCCGACAUUAAAACUAAACAAGUUCAGCUCCUCAAACGUAAAAAUGAAUUACUCAUCAAAAUUAUAGAAACGCAGCGACUUAAUUGUAUGGCAAUUAAAGAUGAAGCUCUAAGAGCGGAAAUUUCUAUUUUGCCUCCCGUGCAACAACUAGCAAUUCGUGCUUGUUUUAAUGCAGUAAAAGCUAAAAAUGCCAAACAACGAAGAUAUACGGUUGAGUGGGUUUAUGAAUGUUUGCUACUUCGUAUAAAAAGUGCUGCGGUAUAUGAACGACUCAGACAACGUCAAAUUCUCCCUCUUCCCUGUAAAGACACCCUUAACAAAUAUAUUCAGAAGUUGGAUAGCGUUUUUGGUUUCCCUAAAGCCAUAUUCGACACUCUUCGUAUUAAAAGUUCACGUAUGGAACCACAUGAAAAACGGGGUGCCCUUUUAAUAGAUGAAGUAGCUUUAAGUGAAGCCGGGAAGCUAAAUCGGAGGACUAUGCAGCUUGAUGGUUUUGUAGACUUGGGGGCACAUACUCCGGAAAAUUUAAUCAACAGUCGGGCUGAUAGUGCCUUAGUCUUCAUAUACCAACCUUUUCAGGGUGACUGGGUGCAAGUAGUUGGUAGCUUCCUGAGCAGAAAUUCUGUCACGAGUGCCAUUCUUAACAAAUUACUCAUUGAAUGCAUCGUAUUACUGGAGAAUGCUGGGUUUUAUGUUGAUGUCAUUACUUCUGAUGCAGCUCAAUAGAACAGAGGAGCAUGGAUGGACACUUUUCGGUGUCAAAGAUGGACAAUGUAGCUGUGAUCAUCCAUGCAAUUUUGACCGCAGGCUUUGGUUUAUUUCGGGUUUUCCACACUUAAUAAAAUGUUUCAGGAACAAAAUCAUGGAACGAUUGUUUUUUUUGGAUAAGCUUCUCUUAUAAUAUGAUUUUUAACACCAGUGUACUGUUAUUCACGAUUGAAUUUUCAAUUUAGUUAGCGUUGGAAUAAACAUAUUCAUAAACUCCAGAUGGUUUUGUAAGAAAAAGUCAUUGGGAAGCUUUAUUAUUGCAUGAAACUUAUUUGAAAGCCAAUCUAAAAAUAGCUUAUCAACUAACUCCCCAGCAUUUAAAUCCAGAAGGAUAUCAAAAGGUGAAUGUCCCGUUGGCUUAUCAGCUUUUUUUCGAAAAAUAUACAAGUUGCAAUGGCGACUUAUAAGAACGCUACUCCUGAGCUCAGCGAUUACGAUCCAACAAUGGCUUUUGUUAAAAGAGUAAAUGAUUUAAUUGAAGCCAUGAGUUCACGUACUCCUUUGAAUGCUUUACGUUUAAAUGAUGAUUGUCCCCGAAAAAAGGUAAUAAGUGAUUUUAUUGAUUAUCUGAAGAUUUGGGAAGCCAAAGCUAAUGAAGAAAAAGAACUUUAUAAAAAGAAGAAGAAAGGCAAAAAACAAAAAUCAAAAAAUGAAAAUGAAGUUGAUGAUAAAUUUUUUUUGCAAUUACUCCUAGUACUCUUACUGGAUUAAAAAUUACGUUACAGGCUACUUUAGAGCUAGGUGAAUUUUUGCAAAAAGAAUGUAAUUUUGAGUACUUGAUGACAUCGCGGCUUAAUCAAAAUCAAUUAGAAUUAAUUUCCAGAAGUUCUUCGGUAUAAUGCGGAGUGUUUGUCGUUGCAACGAUCAUCCGGAUACAAUCCUUUUCAGGCAAGUUUUUCGAUUAUUGUGUUCAUAUUCGCUAGUCACGCCGCCGAAAGGGUCCAAUGUAACAGCUGGUGAAUUACUACAAUCUUUAAUGCAGUCCAAAGAUUCUCUGGCUGCAGCUAAUGCAUUAAAAAAAAAUUGGCUGAAUGAAAUUGACGCUAUUGUUGAAAAUGGUAUUUCUAGUAAUAAUUAUUCGUCUAGUGAUGAUAAUAAUAAUACAUUUUCUCAUCCAAAUACCUCUGUGGCUAAAAAACCCUUUGAAAACUUGUUAGACGAAGAUAGUGAUGACGACAAUGAUGAUACUAUGCCGUCAUUUAUUAGAAAACCAUUCGAAAGUUUAUUAGACGAAGAUAGUGAGGAUGAUAUAGAGAACGAUGAUAAUUUGUAUCACGAUAAUCAUUAUCCGUUCGAAAAUUUAACUGAGAUUGACGAUUCUUCUACUGAAAACAACAUUAAUAAUCAUAAUCAAGAUAAAAUUAAUAUUGAUUCAAAUGAAAACUUUUUACAAAGUGAAAAUGAUUGGGAAGGAAGUAAUAGUUUUCGUGAUGACCAGCAUUACCAUCAUGAUUAUGAUGUUGUUUCCACCAGUGAUGGUAUAGUUGCUUAUAUUGCUGGAUAUGUUGCGAGAAAAUUUCAGCGAAUGACUUCCUGCUGUGAAUGUAUUGAAACAUUACGCUCUACGAAUUCCUCUGAACGUGAUCGGGUCAUAGAAUUAAUGAGCAACAGUGGAUUAAUUUUUCCCAGUGAAAAUUUAUUCAGACUGAUUAAAAAAUUGGAACAAGUAGUUUUAACCGUAGUUGGUACUAAAACCGUUAAAAUUAAUACUAUGCACCAAGUGCUAGAGAAAAUAGCAAAAGCUAAAUGCCUCCCAAUCCUAGGAUGUGAUGAACACAAAAAGAAGCUUAUAUUCUAGUUGAUUUUUGAAAAUUAAUAAUUUUUAGUUCUGUAAAAAGUAGAAUAUUAAGACAAUAAAUACUCUAUAAUGUAUUA